rnacentral:rRNA from 1 species
AAUGAGGAACCAUUGGAGGGCAAGUCUAGGUGCCAGCAGCCGCGGUAAUUCCAGCUCCAAUAGUGUAUACUAAAGUUGUUGCAGUUAAAAAGCUCGUAGUUUGAUUUCGGAUGGUCAGAUGAUUGAGUCUAUACAAUAUAGUAUACGUACUCGGAUGUGAUUUCCUUUAUUUAGGGAUGUAGAAUUUAUUUUUGCUCCCUAUAUUUUACUUUGAGAAAAUUAGAGUGUUCAAAGCAGGCGUAACCAAGCCUUUGAAUAUAUUAGCAUGGGAUAAUAGAAUAAGACUUUGUGGAGUGUUCUCGUUUAGUUUUAUAACUUCGCAAGUAAUGAUAAAUAGGGACGGUUGGGGUAAUUGGUAUUUGAUCGCAAGAGGUGAAAUUCUAAGAUUGAUCAAAGACUAACAGCUGCGAAAGCGUUUUACAAGGACGUUUUCAUUAAUCAAGAACGAAAGUUGAGGGAUCGAGGAUGAUCAGAUACCGUCGUAGUCUCAACCAUAAACUAUGCCGACCAAGGAUUCGGGGGUGUUUAAAAUGAAUGACCCUCUGGGCACUUAUAGAGAAAUUACAAGUAUUUGGGUUCCGGGGGUAGUAUGGUCGCAAGGCUGAAACUUAAAGGAAUUGACGGAAGGGCACCACAAGGAGUGGAGCUUGCGGUUUAAUUUGACCCAACACGGGAAAACUUACCAGGUCCAGAUGCAGUGAGGAUUGACAGAUUGAGAGCUCUUUCUUGAUUUUGCAGGUGGUGGUGCAUGGCCGUUUCUAGUUGGUGGAGUGAUUUGUCUGGUUAAUUCCGUUAACGAACGAGACCUUAACCUAUUAAAUAGUUAUAUUGAUCUGGAUUUAUUUCCAUUAAUCAAUAGUAAUACUUCUUAGAGGUACAAUUCAUGUAAAGAGUGAAUGGAAGUUUGAGGCAAAAACAGGUCCGUGAUGCCCUUAGAUGUUCUGGGCUACACGCGUGUUACACUGAUACAUUCAACGAGCUUAUUAUUUUUCCUUAUCUGAUGAGAUUGGGUAAUCUUUUAAAUGUGUAUCGUGAUGGGGAUAGAGUAUUGUAAUUUUUACUCUUGAACGAGGAAUUCCUAGUAAGUGCAAGUCAUUAACUUGCGCUGAUUACGUCCCUGCCCUUUGUACACACCGCCCGUCGCUCCUACCGAUGAAUGGUCCGAUGAGGAUUCUGGAUGGAAGCUGAUUUCGACAUUGUUCGUGCAGUAUUUCCAGAAAUUAUUCAAAUCUUAUCAUUUAAAGGAAGGAGAAGUC